rnacentral:rRNA from 2 species
CUCAGGACGAACGCUGGCGGCGUGCUUAACACAUGCAAGUCGAGCGGUAAGGCCUUUCGGGGUACACGAGCGGCGAACGGGUGAGUAACACGUGGGUGAUCUGCCCUGCACUUCGGGAUAAGCCUGGGAAACUGGGUCUAAUACCGGAUAUGACCUCCUAUCGCAUGGUGGGUGGUGGAAAGAUUUAUCGGUGCAGGAUGGGCCCGCGGCCUAUCAGCUUGUUGGUGGGGUAAUGGCCUACCAAGGCGACGACGGGUAGCCGACCUGAGAGGGUGACCGGCCACACUGGGACUGAGACACGGCCCAGACUCCUACGGGAGGCAGCAGUGGGGAAUAUUGCACAAUGGGCGAAAGCCUGAUGCAGCGACGCCGCGUGAGGGAUGACGGCCUUCGGGUUGUAAACCUCUUUCAGCAGGGACGAAGCGCAAGUGACGGUACCUGCAGAAGAAGCACCGGCUAACUACGUGCCAGCAGCCGCGGUAAUACGUAGGGUGCAAGCGUUGUCCGGAAUUACUGGGCGUAAAGAGUUCGUAGGCGGUUUGUCGCGUCGUUUGUGAAAACCAGCAGCUCAACUGCUGGCUUGCAGGCGAUACGGGCAGACUUGAGUACUGCAGGGGAGACUGGAAUUCCUGGUGUAGCGGUGAAAUGCGCAGAUAUCAGGAGGAACACCGGUGGCGAAGGCGGGUCUCUGGGCAGUAACUGACGCUGAGGAACGAAAGCGUGGGUAGCGAACAGGAUUAGAUACCCUGGUAGUCCACGCCGUAAACGGUGGGCGCUAGGUGUGGGUUCCUUCCACGGAAUCCGUGCCGUAGCUAACGCA